rnacentral:misc_RNA from 1 species
CGUCGCUCCGCGCCCACCUCCCCCACCGGGGGACGGGGGGCGCGGGGCGGAUACUGGUCUCCCGUGCGCCCCGGCGCGCGGAUGGCUAAAAUGGGAUCCCUCGGCGGCGCACGUCAUGGCCAUUGGUGGUUGAUCAGUCAACUCGCGUGUGGUUGUGCUCCUCUGCAUCGCUCGAGAGGGCAUCCGAACGUACCCGAUGGCGCCCUGGCGCCAGCAUCC